AAAACAAAAAAUUGGAACGAUACAGAGAAGAUUAGCAUGGCCCCUGCACAAGGAUGACACGCAAAUUCAUGAAGCGUUCCAUAUUAAA
rnacentral:snRNA from 1 species